CUGCCUGUUCUCUUUGCUCCCUGCCUACCAGCAUCACUGUCCUGUUCCUCUUUGUUUUGCCACGUGGCCAUCACCAUCAAAAUCAGGGAGGUUGGACUGGAUCAGCGUUGGAGGGCCCUUCCAGCCUUGGACACUCUGAUUCUGUGACAAACCCUUCCACAACGACUCUUGUGCUGGAGUAAACAUUCCUGGUAGCAGCAAACAACACUUCAGUCCAAGGAGAAUUUGGCAGCACUCACUUGCAUGGUUGGCUGUAGACAUGGAUGAUUCCAGACCUGACCCUUCCCCUCGCUGCCAGUGCUGGAGGACGCACACAGAGGCAUCCUACAGGAGUCCUUCCACCUUCCCACACAGAUCCGACAGCAGGAACAGCAGAGCACACCCAGCACGUUUUCAGAUGACUCUAACAGCAGCAGGGGAGAUGUGAGGAGUUGCCUUCUGCCAGAGCAAGGCUACAGCAAGCCUGUGCUAGCAGGACCCGCUCAGGGAAGAGUUUGUGCAUUGAACUGCCCUUUCCCAUGAGAAAGCUGCACAACCAGAAGUUGUGUUCCUUGCUUCAGCCACCCGACUACAAAAGCAACUUUUGAAAUCUACAGGUCAUAAACUUUUAAUUGGCUAGGGCAGAGUGGCUCAGUAGGAAAAUCCCCCUUCUCCCUCCCCUCUGGGCAAUGAGCUAAGCAAGACUCUCGUUUUAAAAAUCAUUUAACUCUUUUUGCUCAAAGUAACGUGGAAAACCUACCCACGUUAUAGGUAGUCAGCAAGAUACUGCUAACAAAAAUAUGCUGCAAGAAGAUUGUGUUAGUGGCACUUCACAGCAGUUCUGAACACUGUCAGAUGCACUGUCAAAAUGACAUUUUUAUGUGUCUCUGAACAUGCUUUUGUUAGUAGAAAGUCACAGCAUGUUGCCAAAUGUUAUUCAAAGAGAAAGAAUCCUGUAAGAAAUACAUUUUGGGUUUUUUUUUUUUGCAGUUAACACAAAACUGUAAACUGGAUUGGUUGAGUGUCCUUCAGCAUCAAAUUGUUCAGUAAUAAAUACGACUAAGUCUUAAUAGACCACGGAGUAAAAGGUUCCCUUAGUGUCCAGUUUUAGCAGCUGUUGAAUGUUCAGGGAUGCACAAGGCACACCUCUGCAGAUUCUCUUACCUUUAUUUUUGACAUACAAAAACCAAACAAACAAAAAACCCAACCAAAAAUAUCCAUUCACCACUCAAAAAUGUUUAUCUGCAUAGUAAGAAUUUUUCUACUGCUAUUUACAGGAAGGGCUUUUAGUGCAAAAACCAGGAAGUGAUGGAUUAGCUGAAGUGCAUCGAGCACACCUCGUACAGUUCCACCAGUCAGCAUCACAUCUUGGGCCGCCAGCCAUUAAUGAACUGCAGGAUUUUCUUAACCUGCAGUUUGCUUAGCUUAAAGUCUUCUGACAGGAUUUCUUCUGUAAGCUGAACCAGUAAAUUGCCAUCAAUCUUCUCUGUAACAAAAAAGGAUAUGACAUCUUCUGACAGACCGAUAAACCUCAGCGAUUUAGACACUUCCUCUAUCGAGAGUCCAGAAAGGUCCGUGGGUGGCUGCCAGGGAGAGCCAUCCCCACAAGACCUCGGUGCUAACUGGAGGUGGAGGGGAGAUGAGAAAGGAUAAGACCCAGAGAACGCAUCCUGCAUGCCCUUUUUGAUGAGACACUGAUCCUCCAGGACGUCUGGAGAACUAGUUUUUGACUCCUCCUCAGCACCAUCUAUUUUCAGCGGCAAGGGACUCGUGUCUGUAACCGUUUUCUCUUCAGCUGACUUUGGUGCCCGAGGAGGUAAGGCAGGACACGAAUGGCUCUGCUUUGUGCUGCUGACUCCAAGAGUUUUUUCAUCAGUGCAGUCUAGAGAGUAACUUGCUGACUUUGGACAGCUGGAGAUGGUGUUUGUGAACUCUGCUGAGGUCAGCAGGGAGUACCCCGCUGGCAGCUCACACCCAUCAAAGUCAAAAGUCAAAGGUGCUGGACAGUUUCUCUUUGGCGUACCUGGAGUCUUCUGUCUGGGGUAACUGUAGCUCCUGCUUGGAUCGAGGAGGAAGUCGCUCCUGUUCAGGCCUUCAGCAGUUCCUGACAAGUGGUUUGGCCAAGAUAACCUGGAAGGCAGAGCUUCACUUGAGGGGCUUCCCAAAGGUAUCGUGCUCUCGGGCUCUUUGGAUUCGGGUUUCAUCAUGUUGCAAGGGUAGCAGGAAACAGGUGUGCUGUCAGCUGGGUCGGUGUUGUCACUCUCUGUGACACUGCUUAAGGAACAAAGCAGAAAGGAUGUCAUUAGUACCAAAAAAAUCCUGGCAUUUGAAUAAAUUAAUAAAUCAUCUGACAGAGUCAGAGGGUGGCUGUCACAAGGAAGACUCUUUUUCCCUCCGGCAGUGUUUUUCAGAUUUCAAUUAACAGCACAUUUGAAUAUCACAUUGACAUUUUACUCCUUCUACAAGCUUGACAAGAUGCUGACAUACCCCAAAGCCUCACGUCCUGGGGUUUUUUCAAGCUUGUAAAAAAGUAGAUGUCUCAAUUCGGUUCUGUGUCACCUCCUGAACAACUCAGUCGUUCCACUGUCAGAUUCCUGAGGGACACCACCAUGGAACAGGAACAGCUUCACAUACUCUAGAAGAUCUCCUGAUGAUGGAUUUCAUAUCUAUAUAUCACAGAUGUGUCAUGGUGUGCAAAAGCAUGUAACGGGGGCAGGUGACCAUUGCACCAGACAGGAGCUUGGCUGAUGUAAGAAGCUGCACCAGUGAA